AUUGAACGCUGGCGGCAGGCCUAACACAUGCAAGUCGAGCGGAUGAAGGGAGCUUGCUCCUGGAUUCAGCGGCGGACGGGUGAGUAAUGCCUAGGAAUCUGCCUGGUAGUGGGGGAUAACGUCCGGAAACGGGCGCUAAUACCGCAUACGUCCUGAGGGAGAAAGUGGGGGAUCUUCGGACCUCACGCUAUCAGAUGAGCCUAGGUCGGAUUAGCUAGUUGGUGGGGUAAAGGCCUACCAAGGCGACGAUCCGUAACUGGUCUGAGAGGAUGAUCAGUCAAAGUGGAAGUGAGACAAGGACCAGAGGCGAAAGGGAGGCAGAAGGGGGGAAUAUUGGAGAAUGGGGGAAAGACAGAACAAGGCAUGGAGCGUGUGUGAAGAAGGUAUUAGGAUAGUAAAGAACUGUAAGGUGGGAGGAAGGGGAGUAAGUUAAGACCUUGCUGGUUUGAGGUUACGAGCAGUAUAAGCACAGGCUAACUUCGGG
rnacentral:rRNA from 1 species